rnacentral:rRNA from 1 species
CAAUAGCGUAUAUUAAAGCUGUUGCGGUUAAAAAGCUCGUAGUUGGAUUUCUGUCAAGGACAACUGGUCCGCCCCUCGGGUGAGCACAUAGUUUGGUCUUGGCAUCUUGUUGGAAACUGUUGCUGCACUUGGUUGUGUGGCGCAGUGUCCAGCACUUUCACUUUGAGGAAAUUGGAGUGUUUCAAGCAGGCACAUGCCUUUGGACACAGUAGCAUGGAAUAAUCAGAUUGGGCUUUUGCUCCAACUUGUCGGUUUCUGGAGCUGAGGUGAGAAUUAAUGGGGAUUGUUGGGGGCAUCCGAAUUUAGCCGUCAGAGGUGAAAUUCUUGGAUCUGCUAAAGACGGACAACUGCGAAAGCGUUUGCCCAGGAUGUUUUCAUUGA